UACGUAGGUGGCAAGCGUUGUCCGGAAUUAUUGGGCGUAAAGCGCGCACAGGCGGCCUGUUAAGUAGGAUGUGAAAGCCCCCGGCUCGACCUGGGAACGGCAUCCGGAACUGGCAAGCUAGAGUACAGGAGAGGAAGGUAGAAUUCCCGGUGUAGCGGUGAAAUGCGUAGAGAUCGGGAGGAAUACCAGUGGCGAAAGCGGCCUUCUGGACUGAUACUGACACUGAGGUGCGAAAGCGUGGGGAGCGAACAGG
rnacentral:misc_RNA from 1 species